rnacentral:rRNA from 1 species
GUCUCCUACGGGAGGCAGCAGUUGGGAAUCUUCCACAAUGGACGAAAGUCUGAUGGAGCAACGCCGCGUGAGUGAAGAAGGGUUUCGGCUCGUAAAGCUCUGUUGGUAGUGAAGAAAGAUAGAGGUAGUAACUGGCCUUUAUUUGACGGGAAUUACUUAGAAAGUCACGGCUAACUACGUGCCCGCAGCCGCGGUAAUACGUAGGUGGCAAGCGUUGUCCGGAUUUAUUGGGCGUAAAGGGUGCGUAGACGGGAAGUCAAGUUAGUUGUGAAAUCCCUCGGCUUAACUGAGGAACUGCAACUAAA